CCACUUUAUCCCAACAAACAAACCCACUCUCCCAGUCGUGCAAGCCUAUCAUUUCUUCUUACCCAUCAUCUCUCACCUUUUUAUUGCAUGCCUAGUCUCCUUGUACCACCAUUUCUAUUGCCAUCGGGUCAUUGUAACUCUUAUAGGCCUUAGAUCUUGGUUCUCACUAAAACACUAAUGUUUUUCGUUGCACUCCCACCAAAAAACUCGGAAGUUCGGUGGCAAGCAUUGGUUGUUGGACAAAAUAGAGAAGGUGAUCAGAGAAGAGAAAAAAUCUUUAAGGUACUGUUAUUACUGCCUUAGGACACGUUGUGCUGCAGCUGCAUCGUUUCGGUGUUCCAGAUGCAGCGAGCCAGUAAUUGCAAUGCAGCGGUAUGGUGUAGUUGAUCAUAAAGUUCCAAGUCAAUGAUACUUGUAUAGGAAGUAGAGAAA